UACGUAGGGGGCAAGCGUUGUCCGGAAUCAUUGGGCGUAAAGCGCGUGUAGGCGGUCCGGUAAGUCCGCUGUGAAAGUCGGGGGCUCAACCCUCGGAUGCCGGUGGAUACUGUCGGGCUUGAGUGCGGAAGAGGCGAGUGGAAUUCCUGGUGUAGCGGUGAAAUGCGCAGAUAUCAGGAGGAACACCAAUGGCGAAGGCAGCUCGCUGGGACGUUACUGACGCUGAGACGCGAAAGCGUGGGGAGCAAACAGG
rnacentral:rRNA from 1 species